rnacentral:rRNA from 1 species
UACAGAGGGGGCUAGCGUUAUUCGGAAUUAUUGGGCGUAAAGGGCGCGUAGGCGGCCAUGCGUGUCUUCCGUGAAAUCCCUCGGCUUAACUGAGGACGUGCGGAAGAAACUGCAAGGCUCGAGUCCGGGAGAGGGGGGUGGAAUUCCCAGUGUAGCGGUGAAAUGCGUAGAUAUUGGGAGGAACACCGGUGGCGAAGGCGGCCCCCUGGACCGGAACUGACGCUGAGGCGCGAAAGCGUGGGUAGCAAACGGG